GAUGAAGAACGUAGCGAAAUGCGAUAAGUAGUGUGAAUUGCAGAAUUCAGUGAAUCAUCGAGUCUUUGAACGCACAUUGCGCCCCCUGGCAUUCCGGGGGGCAUGCCUGUCCGAGCGUCAUUGCUGCCCUUCAAGCCCGGCUUGUGUGUUGGGUCGUCGUCCCCCCCGGGGGACGGGCCCGAAAGGCAGCGGCGGCACCGCGUCCGGUCCUCGAGCGUAUGGGGCUUUGUCACCCGCUCGAUUAGGGCCGGCCGGGCGCCAGCCGGCGUCUCCAACCUUCUAUUUUACCAGGUUGACCUCGAAUCAGGUAGGGAUACCCGCUGAACUUAAGCAUAUCAAUAAGCGGAGGA
rnacentral:misc_RNA from 1 species